rnacentral:rRNA from 1 species
UAAAAAAUAUCUGGUUGAUCCCUGCAGAAACUAAAAAAUA